rnacentral:rRNA from 1 species
GACGAACGCUGGCGGCGUGCUUAACACAUGCAAGUCGAACGGAAAGGCCCUGCUUUUGUGGGGUGCUCGAGUGGCGAACGGGUGAGUAACACGUGAGUAACCUGCCCUUGACUUUGGGAUAACUUCAGGAAACUGGGGCUAAUACCGGAUAGGAGCUCCUGCUGCAUGGUGGGGGUUGGAAAGUUUCGGCGGUUGGGGAUGGACUCGCGGCUCAUCAGCUUGUUGGUGGGGUAGUGGCUUACCAGGGCUUUGACGGGUAGCCGGCCUGAGAGGGUGACCGGCCACAUUGGGACUGAGAUACGGCCCAGACUCCUACGGGAGGCAGCAGUGGGGAAUAUUGCACAAUGGGCGGAAGCCUGAUGCAGCAACGCCGCGUGCGGGAUGACGGCCUUCGGGUUGUAAACCGCUUUCGCCUGUGACGAAGCGUGAGUGACGGUAAUGGGUAAAGAAGCACCGGCUAACUACGU